GGACGAACGCUGGCGGCGUGCCUAAUACAUGCAAGUCGAACGAGCUCUCCUAAAUUGAUUUUAUGCUUGCAUAAAUGAUUUUUAGAUUCGGAGCGAGUGGCGAACUGGUGAGUAACACGUGGGUAACCUGCCCCGAAGCGGGGGAUAACAUUUGGAAACAAAUGCUAAUACCGCAUAAUUAGUUGGAACCGCAUGGUUCCAACUUGAAAGAUGGCUCUGCUAUCACUUUGGGAUGGACCCGCGCCGUAUUAGUUAGUUGGUGAGAUAAAAGCCCACCAAGACGAUGAUACGUAGCCGACCUGAGAGGGUAAUCGGCCACAUUGGGACUGAGACACGGCCCAGACUCCUACGGGAGGCAACAGUAGGGAAUCUUCCACAAUGGACGAAAGUCUGAUGGAGCAACGCCGCGUGAGUGAUGAAGGUUUUCGGAUCGUAAAACUCUGUUGUUAAAGAAGAACAAGUGUUAGAGUAACUGUUAACACUUUGACGGUAUUUAACCAGAAAGCCACGGCUAACUACGUGCCAGCAGCCGCGGUAAUACGUAGGUGGCAAGCGUUGUCCGGAUUUAUUGGGCGUAAAGCGAGCGCAGGCGGUUUUGUAAGUCUGCUGUGAAAGCCCUCAGCUCAACUGAGGAAGUGCAGUGGAAACUACAAAACUUGAGUACAGAAGAGGAAAGUGGAACUCCAUGUGUAGCGGUGAAAUGCGUAGAUAUAUGGAAGAACACCAGUGGCGAAGGCGGCUUUCUGGUCUGUUACUGACGCUGAGGCUCGAAAGCAUGGGUAGCGAACAGGAUUAGAUACCCCUGGUAGUCCAUGCCGUAAACGAUGAAUACUAGGUGUUGGAGGGUUUCCGCCCUUCAGUGCCGCAGCUAACGCAUUAAGUAUUCCGCCUGGGGAGUACGACCGCAAGGUUGAAACUCAAAGGAAUUGACGGGGGCCCGCACAAGUGGUGGAGCAUGUGGUUUAAUUCGAUGCUACGCGAAGAACCUUACCAGCUCUUGACAUCUUCUGCCAACCCAAGAGAUUGGGCGUUCCCUUCGGGGACAGAAUGACAGGUGGUGCAUGGUUGUCGUCAGCUCGUGUCGUGAGAUGUUGGGUUAAGUCCCGCAACGAGCGCAACCCUUAUUAUUAGUUGCCAGCAUUUAGUUGGGCACUCUAGUGAGACUGCCGGUGAUAAACCGGAGGAAGGUGGGGACGACGUCAAAUCAUCAUGCCCCUUAUGAGCUGGGCUACACACGUGCUACAAUGGAUGGUACAACGAGUCGCGAAACCGCGAGGUCAAGCUAAUCUCUUAAAGCCAUUCUCAGUUCGGAUUGCAGGCUGCAACUCGCCUGCAUGAAGUUGGAAUCACUAGUAAUCGUGGAUCAGCAUGCCACGGUGAAUACGUUCCCGGGCCUUGUACACACCG
rnacentral:rRNA from 1 species